UCAUGCUGGUUUUCUGCGAAUCUGUUUUAGCAAAUUAUUUAUUUUAUUAUUAGUAGGUAUAGCACUGAAUAUUUUUUUUUCCAAAAAAGGGAUUAUAAUUUUACUUACCUAAAAAAUUUAAUCCCAAAAGGGCUAAAAAUUUAGGUAAAAAACCGAACUUUUUCCAAUAAGGUAUAAAGCCUAAGGGGAACCACCCCAAAACAGUAAAAAAAAAGGUAAGGCCCCCCAUUUAAAAUUAGGUGCAAAAUUUCCCAAGNNUUUNUUCGGGAGCGGANUCUNNGCUUCGGAUUUCAAAGGGGGCUGGGGCUCCCCNUUUANUUUUAAGGGAAAUUUCCAAAGGGNCGGGGUUUGNNNGGNGGAGGGUGCGCGGGUAAAAUGCAAGGGGGGUUCCC
rnacentral:rRNA from 1 species